rnacentral:misc_RNA from 1 species
CAGCUCCGAGUCGUCCCACUUGCAGGACUGCCCUGGUGGAGGCGAGGUCCGGUUGAAAUGUUAACCUUGGGCCUCUCCUUGUGGCCUAGACAUGUCCACUGGCUGCAAUGAUAAAUGAGCCAUUGUGCAACCAAAUCAGCAGCUUCAGGUUCUACAAAAAGGGUUCAACUUUCACUGCAUCACAAGUGAAUCAACUGAAUUACAGUUGUUAUGACUGUUGUUUUUGAAAUAAGGUUUCACAUUCAUCUUAUCUCUCCACUGAAAAUACACUUUUCUUUGUGUUUGACCAGAACCUAUAUCGCAACAAGCCUCUCACAAUCUCCAGAGGGAUAACCAAAUAACCAAGCAUACAUACGGCAAAGUCUCCAAAAAUCACCAGUAGUCACCGCAAGAACAGAUUCCCCCAACAAUAUGAUGGAACCGGUUUUUAUCCCUUAGAGACACAUCUCUUCCGUAAAACUUUGAAAUAAGCUUAGCAAAAUUGUGACAAUCACUACAGAUCCGGAGGUUUUUUAUCACACGUAUUGGGACUCUCUCUGGAGCAACAAUGAGUCCAAAUGCCAUAGCCAGUUUUUCACUAUGGGCUAGAAGUAUUUUCUCCUUUUGCUCCUCAUCCACAUCAUAUAAAACACAACUCAAAUCAGGGACAUAGCCAGCUUCCUUGAACUUGAUUGAUAAUUCCCUCACCUUCCAAAAUACCUCUUCCCUCCUUGGGUGGGAGCGAUCACUUGCGUGAAAAGUAUGCAGGGUUUGGUCAAGUUCAAUCCAGCUUCUUCCUGGCUCCUUCAUCACAGCCUUGUCCAUCAUUAAUUCCCUUACCUUUCUCACAUCUUCCCAUCUCCCUGCAGAAGCAUAUAAAUUAGAAAGAAUGACAUAAUUUCCUGCAUUUUCAGGCUCUAUUUGUACAAGUCGUUGACCUACAAAUGUGCCAAUGUCUAUAUUCGAGUGAACUCUACAAGCACCUAAAAGUGAACCCCAAAUGGCUGCAGUUGGUUCAAAAGGCAUCCCUUUGAUAAAUUCAAAAGCCUCUUCCACUCGGCCAGCACGCCCAAGCAAGUCAACAACACACCCAUAAUGCUCUAUCUCUACCUGAAUCCCAUUAUUCCCUUUCAACAUUUCAUCAAAUAUUUCUAGUCCUUUAUCUACCAAUCUUCCAUGGCUGCAGCCAGAUAGAACAGCCAAAAAAGUUACACUGUCAGGUUUAACUCUAUUUUCUUCUCUCAUCAAUUUGAAGAGCUCAACCACCUCUCUGCCCAUUCCAUGUUUACUAUACCCCACAAGCAUUGCAUUCCAUGAGAUAACAGUUCGCUCAGGCAUAAUAUCAAAGAUCCUUCUCGAGUAAUUAAGGUUUCCACAUUUUGAGUACAUAUCAAUCAGAGAAUUCUGAAGAACUACAUAAAAGGGCAAUUCACAUCUAAGAACAUGGCCGUGAACUUGUUUACCAUGAUCUAGUGCAGCAAGCCCAGAUAAUGCAGUCAACACACUAGCAUAAGUAACAUAAUUUGAGCUCAUUCCUUCCUUUUCCAACCUCCGGAAUAGUUCUAAUGCCUCUUCAUCAAGACCUAGUUGGGCAUAUCCUGAGAUUAUUGCAGUACAAGAAACAACGUCCCUUUCAGGCAACCCCUCAAAAACCCCUCGAGCUUCAAGGAUUUUGCCAGCUUUUGCA